rnacentral:rRNA from 1 species
GACGAACGUUGGCGGCGUGCUUAACACAUGCAAGCCGAACGGAAAGGCCCUGCUUUUGUGGGGUGCUCGAGUGGCGAACGGGUGAGUAACACGUGAGUAACCUGCCCUUGACUUUGGGAUAACUUCAGGAAACUGGGGCUAAUACCGGAUAGGAGCUCCUGCUGCAUGGUGGGGGUUGGAAAGUUUCGGCGGUUGGGGAUGGACUCGCGGCUUAUCAGCUUGUUGGUGGGGUAGUGGCUUACCAAGGCUUUGACGGGUAGCCGGCCUGAGAGGGUGACCGGCCACAUUGGGACUGAGAUACGGCCCAGACUCCUACGGGAGGCAGCAGUGGGGAAUAUUGCACAAUGGGCGGAAGCCUGAUGCAGCAACGCCGCGUGCGGGAUGACGGCCUUCGGGUUGUAAACCGCUUUCGCCUGUGACGAAGCGUGAGUGACGGUAAUGGGUAAAGAAGCACCGGCUAACUACGUGCCAGCAGCCGCGGUGAUACGUAGGGUGCGAGCGUUGUCCGGAUUUAUUGGGCGUAAAGGGCUCGUAGGUGGUUGAUCGCGUCGGAAGUGUAAUCUUGGGGCUUAACCCUGAGCGUGCUUUCGAUACGGGUUGACUUGAGGAAGGUAGGGGAGAAUGGAAUUCCUGGUGGAGCGGUGGAAUGCGCAGAUAUCAGGAGGAACACCAGUGGCGAAGGCGGUUCUCUGGGCCUUUCCUGACGCUGAGGAGCGAAAGCGUGGGGAGCGAACAGGCUUAGAUACCCUGGUAGUCCACGCUGUAAACGGUGGGUACUAGGUGUGGGGUCCAUUCCACGGGUUCCGUGCCGUAGCUAACGCUUUAAGUACCCCGCCUGGGGAGUACGGCCGCAAGGCUAAAACUCAAAGGAAUUGACGGGGCCCCGCACAAGCGGCGGAGCAUGCGGAUUAAUUCGAUGCAACGCGUAGAACCUUACCUGGGUUUGACAUGGAUCGGGAGUGCUCAGAGAUGGGUGUGCCUCUUUUGGGGUCGGUUCACAGGUGGUGCAUGGCUGUCGUCAGCUCGUGUCGUGAGAUGUUGGGUUAAGUCCCGCAACGAGCGCAACCCUUGUUCACUGUUGCCAGCACGUUAUGGUGGGGACUCAGUGGAGACCGCCGGGGUCAACUCGGAGGAAGGUGGGGAUGACGUCAAGUCAUCAUGCCCCUUAUGUCCAGGGCUUCACGCAUGCUACAAUGGCUGGUACAGAGAGUGGCGAGCCUGUGAGGGUGAGCGAAUCUCGGAAAGCCGGUCUCAGUUCGGAUUGGGGUCAGCAACUCGACCUCAUGAAGUCGGAGUCGCUAGUAAUCGCAGAUCAGCAACGCUGCGGUGAAUACGUUCCCGGG